rnacentral:rRNA from 1 species
AGAGUUUGAUCAUGGCUCAGGAUGAACGCUAGCUACAGGCUUAACACAUGCAAGUCGAGGGGAAACGAUAUUGGAAGCUUGCUUUCGAUAGGCGUCGACCGGCGCACGGGUGAGUAACGCGUAUCCAACCUGCCCACCACUUGGGGAUAACCUUGCGAAAGUAAGACUAAUACCCAAUGAUAUCUCUAGAAGACAUCUGAAAGAGAUUAAAGAUUUAUCGGUGAUGGAUGGGGAUGCGUCUGAUCAGCUUGUUGGCGGGGUAACCGGCCCACCAAGGCAACGAUCAGGUAGGGGUUCUGAGAGGAACGGUCCCCCACAUUGGAACUGAGACACGGUACCAAACUCCUACGGGUGGCAGCA